AGCUCUGCAGUGGCAGUAUCAUAGCCCCUUAUCUAAGGCACGAUCAUUGCUAAUUGAGAACUAUUCCCAGUACCUCUCCAUGUUGACUUGAAAUGUGGUCUGCAAUGGCAAUUUCUUUCUUUCUUUUUUUUUUUGAGA